UUCAUGGUGGCUUAGUUGGUAGAGCGUUGUCAUGUAUUGCCCAAGGUUGUGGGUUCGAAUCCCAUCCAUGACA
rnacentral:tRNA from 1 species